rnacentral:rRNA from 1 species
UUGAACGCUGGCGGCAUGCCUUACACGUGCCAGUCGAACGGUAACAGGUCUUCGGAUGCUGACGAGUGGCGAACGGGUGAGUAAUACAUCGGAACGUGCCCAGACGUGGGGGAUAACGAGGCGAAAGCUUUGCUAAUACCGCAUACGAUCUAAGGAUGAAAGCAGGGGACCGCAAGGCCUUGCGCGUUUGGAGCGGCCGAUGGCAGAUUAGGUAGUUGGUGGGAUAAAAGCUUACCAAGCCGACGAUCUGUAGCUGGUCUGAGAGGACGACCAGCCACACUGGGACUGAGACACGGCCCAGACUCCUACGGGAGGCAGCAGUGGGGAAUUUUGGACAAUGGGCGAAAGCCUGAUCCAGCAAUGCCGCGUGCAGGAUGAAGGCCUUCGGGUUGUAAACUGCUUUUGUACGGAACGAAAAGGCUCUGGCUAAUACCUGGGGCACAUGACGGUACCGUAAGAAUAAGCACCGGCUAACUACGUG